rnacentral:rRNA from 1 species
GACGAACGCUGGCGGCGUGCUUAACACAUGCAAGUCGAACGAAGUGGCGAACGGGUGAGUAACGCGUAAUCAACCUGCCCUUCAGAGGGGGACAACAGUUGGAAACGACUGCUAAUACCGCAUACUGAAGGAGGGGAUGGCGUCUGAUUAGCUAGUGGGAGGGGUAACGGCCCACCAAGGCGAUGAUCAGUAGACGGGCUGAGAGGAUGAACGGGCAAAUUGGGACUGAGAAACGGCCCAGGCUCCUACGGGGGGCAGCAGGGGGGAAACUUCCGCAAUGGACGAAAGUCUGACGGAGCAACGCCGCGGGAGUGAUGACGGCCUUCGGGUUGUAAAGCUAUGUUAAUCGGGACGCGGUACCGGAAUAGAAAGCCACGGCUAACUACGUGCCAGCAGCCGCGGUAAUUC